ensembl:miRNA mdo-mir-1543 mdo-mir-1543
GAUAGUGCUUUGCACCACUGAGAGUGGAUUAACUUCCUUUAUGAAGUUAGUCCUAGUCUAGGUGCACACAUGUC